rnacentral:tRNA from 1 species
ACGCUUAUGGUGUAAUGGAUAGCACAAGAGAUUUCUAAUCUCUGAGUCUAAGUUCGAAUCUUAGUAGAUGUA